rnacentral:tRNA from 1 species
AUUUUCGUAGUUGAACUACAACGCUGGUUUUUCGUAUCAUUAGUCUAGGUUGGAGCCCUAGUGAAAAUU